rnacentral:rRNA from 1 species
AGCAGCCGCGGUAAUUCCAGCUCCAAUAGCGUAUAUUAAAGUUGUUGCAGUUAAAAAGCUCGUAGUUGAAUUUCAGGCCUGGCUGGACGGUCCGCCCUUCGGGUGAGUACUGUCUGUGGUCGGGUCCUACCUUCUGGCGAAGCGUCAUGGCCUUAACCGGCCGUGGCGGGGAACCAGGACUUUUACUGUGAAAAAAUUAGAGUGUUCAAAGCAGGCAAACCGCUUGGAUACAUUAGCAUGGAAUAAUGGAAUAGGACGAUGGUUCUAUUUGUUGGUUUCUAGGACCGUUGUAAUGAUUAAUAGGGAUAGUUGGGGGCAUUAGUAUUCAAUUGUCAGAGGUGAAAUUCUUGGAUUUAUUGAAGACUAACUACUGCGAAAGCAUCUGCCAAGGAUGUUUUCAUUAAUCAAGAACGAAAGUUAGGGGAUCGAAGACGAUCAGAUACCGUCGUAGUCUUAACCAUAAACUAUGCCGACUAGGAAUCGGGCGAUGUUGACAAAAUGACGCGCUCGGCACCUCAUG